rnacentral:rRNA from 1 species
CUGGUUGAUCCUGCCAGUAGUCAUAUGCUUGUCUCAAAGAUUAAGCCAUGCAUGUCUAAGUAUAAGUUCUGUACUGCGAAACUGUGAAUGGCUCAUUAUAACAGUUAUUAUUCCCUGGCCGGUCAGUGAUUCCUUGGAUACCCAUGGUAAUUCUAGAGCUAAUACAUGCUUAAAAACCCGACUUCUUGAAGGGUUGCGCUUAUUAGAUACCGAACCAACCCAGGCUCUGCCUGGUUUUCGUUGAUUCAUAGUGUUCUGGCGAAUCGACUCGCAAGAGUCGAUGAGGCUAUCAAGUUUCUGACCUAUCAGCUUCCGACGGUAGGAUAUUGGCCUACCGUGGCUUUGACGGGUAACGGAGAAUUAGGGUUCGAUUCCGGAGAGGGAGCCUGAGAAACGGUUACCAUAUCUAAGGAAGGCAGCAGGCGCGUAAAUUACCCAAUCCUGACACAGGGAGGUAGUGACAAGAAAUAUCAAUAUAAGACGUUUCUGUCUUGUAAUUGGGAUGAGCGAAACAUAAACCGCUUCUCGAGUAUCAAUUGGAGGGCAAGUCUGGU